rnacentral:tRNA from 1 species
GGAUUGUGACUCAGUGGUAGAGCACUUGCCUAGCAUGUGUGAGGCACUGGGUUCAAUCCUCAGCACCA